GACGAACGCUGGCGGCGUGCUUAACACAUGCAAGUCGAGCGGUAAGGCCCUUCGGGUACGACGAGCGGCGAACGGGUGAGUAACACGUGGGUGACCUGCCUCUAGCUCUGGGAUAAGCCUGGGAAACUGGGUCUAAUACCGGGAUAUGACUCCACGGCGCAUGUUGUGGGGUGGAAAGCCUUGUGUGGCUAGAGAUGGGCCCGCGGCCUAUCAGCUUGUUGGUGGGGUGAUGGCCCACCAAGGCGACGACGGGUAGCCGGCCUGAGAGGCGACCGCCACACUGGGACUGAGACACGGCCCAGACUCCUACGGGAGGCAGCAGUGGGGAAUCUUGCGCAAUGGGCGAAAGCCUGACGCAGCGACGCCGCGU
rnacentral:rRNA from 1 species